UUCCGGAAUCAGGUUUCGAACCUGGAACCCUCCGGAAUUGAAGCCCAAACUUACCACUAGGCCACCGCGGU